rnacentral:rRNA from 15 species
GAUGAAAUAACUUUGUUGCCUAAGGAUGAGCUCGCGCCUGAUUAGCUAGUUGGUGAGGUAAUGGCUCACCAAGGCCACGAUCAGUAGCUGGUUUGAGAGAACGAUCAGCCACACUGGGACUGAGACACGGCCCAGACUCCUCCGGGAGGCAGCAGUGAGGAAUUUUCCGCAAUGGGCGAAAGCCUGACGGAGCAAUACCGCGUGAGGGAUGAAGGAUUUUGGUCUGUAAACCUCUUUUCUCAAGAAAGAAGUUCUGACGGUACUUGAGGAAUAAGCAUCGGCUAACUCCGUGCCAGCAGCCGCGGUAAUACGGGGGAUGCAAGCGUUAUCCGGAAUCAUUGGGCGUAAAGCGCCUGUAGGUUGUUUAUUAAGUCUGUUGUUAAAGACUAGGGCUUAACCCUAGGAAAGCAAGAGAAACUAAUAGACUUGAGUAUGGCAGGGGUAGAGGGAAUUUCUAGUGUAGCGGUGAAAUGCGUAGAUAUUAGAAAGAACACCGGCGGCGAAAGCGCUCUACUGGACCAUUACUGACACUCAGAGGCGAAAGCUAGGGUAGCAAAAGGGAUUAGAUACCCCUGUAGUCCUAGCCGUAAACGAUGGAUACUAGAUGUUGCGUUUAAAUGCAGUAUCGUAGCUAACGCGUUAAGUAUCCCGCCUGGGGAGUACGCUCGCAAGGGUGAAACUCAAAGGAAUUGACGGGGGCCCGCACAAGCGGUGGAGCAUGUGGUUUAAUUCGAUACAACGCGAAGAACCUUACCAGGGCUUGACAUACUACGAAUUCUCUUGAAAAAGAGAAGUGCCUUCGGGAAUGUAGAUACAGGUGGUGCAUGGCUGUCGUCAGCUCGUGUCGUGAGAUGUUGGGUUAAGUCCCGCAACGAGCGCAACCCUUAUUUUUAGUUACCAAUUCGUUGGGUUUUUUAGAAAGACUGCCGGUGACAAACCGGAGGAAGGUGAGGAUGACGUCAAGUCAGCAUGCCCCUUAUGUCCUGGGCUACACACGUGCUACAAUGGUUAAGACAAAGAGUCGCGAGCUUGCAAAAGUCAGCUAAUCUCGUAAACUUAGCCUAAGUUCAGAUUGUAGGCUGCAACUCGCCUGCAUGAAGUUGGAAUCGCUAGUAAUCGCUGGUCAGCCAUACAGCGGUGAAUCCGUUCCCGGGCCUUGUACACACCGCCCGUCACACCAUGGGAGCUGGUCAUACCCGAAACCGUUAGUUUAACCAUUCGGAGAACGACGUCUAAGGUAGGGCUAGUGACUGGGGUGAAGUCG